rnacentral:rRNA from 1 species
AUUGAACGCUGGCGGCAGGCCUAACACAUGCAAGUAGAACGAGUGGCGGACGGGUGAGUAAUGUCUGGGAAACUGCCUGAUGGAGGGGGAUAACUACUGGAAAAGGUAGCUAAUACCGCAUACCAUCGGAUGUGCCCAGAUGGGAUUAGCUAGGAGGUGGUGAAAAGGCUCACCUAGGGGACGAUCCCUAGCUGGUCUGAGAGGAUGACCAGCCACACUGGAACUGAGACACGGCCCAGAUUCCUACGGGAGGCAGCAGUGGGGAAUUUUGGACAAUGGGGGAAACCCUGAUCCAGCCAUCCGGCGUGUAUGAUGAAGGCCUUCGGGUUGUAAAGUACUUUUGGCAGAGAAGCGGUAUCUGCAGAAUAAGCACCGGCUAACUACGUGCCAGCAGCCGCGGUAAUAC